rnacentral:rRNA from 1 species
GGAUGCAAUCACACCAGCACUAACGGAUCCCAUCAUUUAAGUGUACUUGGUUGAGAGUAGUACUAGGAUGAGUGAUCCCUGAAAAGUCCUCGUGUUGCAUUUC